rnacentral:rRNA from 1 species
AUGUAUCAUCUUGUAGUUCAUAAAAUGGAUGAAGCUGAAAGCAAUAUGAUCAGUAAGGGGAAAGAAUGCAAAGUUGACAAGAAUGCAAGGGCAAAAGCUAUAAAUUGGCAUGUAGCUAUGUCAGAGUUUCUUCUUGACUGGUACAUUGAGAAGAAGAUUGAGAUGCCUCCUAUAGCAGUAUUCGAGAAGAUGCAUCACGCUGCUUGCACAGCAGCAAUAAAUAAGAAGUAUGGCUGUUCUUAUAGUGUCGAGCAAGUUCAACGUCACUUUAGGCAUCAUAAAGAGACAUGGGGGCUAGUUGCUAGAUAUAGUAAUGAGAGUGGCAGUGGGUUUGAUGAUGUCAACAAACAAGUGAUGCUCUCUCAAUCUACUCUAGAUGGCUUAUCGGUAAUUAUCUCAUACAAAUUAUCUAUUUGUCGAGUGUUCAACUACUGA